CCCUGGGUAGCUCAGUGGUAGAGCUCCUGAUUGGAGUUGCAGGGGUCCCUGGUUCGAUUCCCGGUCCAUUGU
rnacentral:tRNA from 1 species